rnacentral:sRNA from 1 species
CAGCCACCCGCUUAGUGUCAGUCAGUAGUUUGUGACUUGUUCUUUUGUUCAUGUUGUAAGUAGUAUUGAUUUACAAUUUACACAUUUAGCAGGAGCAGCAAUGUGUGGAACACCGCUUCGCAGUGGUGCUACGAUCGGCCAAUUCUUCGAAUUCAAUUAAGAAAAUGGUCAGCGUCUGCAAGUGUGGGGUAAUUCCAUGAAAUAGCGCUGCUUGCAGUUUGCGCACCUACUAAAAGACGGUCGCUGCUCAACACUGCAGGUCCAUUCCAUUUGAAAUGGAAACUCUUAGCCAUCGUUAGCUUCUUUCUGCACUCUCAACAGACAUAGGAAUCUUCACCGAUGGUUCUAACGAUGGGACCACAGCGAUGGAACGCCAGCAACAACCGAUUCUUCUGAUACUUCGGACCCACCGACACCACCCAUCAAGAAGCGGAAGACACUUUGAAGACUUUGACAGAUGGAAUUUUGAAGGAGGUGGGAGCACGGAACGAAAUGCAGAGCGACGCCACCUUGCGAUGCAUUCGCGUGACGACAUUACCUUCACAAUAAUUUGCCUUGAAGAACAAAAUUAUUCUUUACUGUUGCUGCUGGAGUGGUAACCUCAGCCAGUUGAUGCCUUGAUCAUCACUAGGAGCCAGGAUGCCUUGAUCAUCAACUGGCUGGUGAAGCCACUGCAGCAGCAACAGUCCAGACCAAUCUUGUUAUUGAAGACAAAGUUAGGACCGGAGCCAAAGGAAAUCUGGACUCGGACUAUCUGCUGAUAAUAUUUUGAUAACGUUUUUACAAAUUGAAUAAAAUUAGAUAACUAAAUA